GCAAUAAGAAAAUAAAAUAAUAAAUCAUUUUUAGUUCAAUAAUAAAACUAAAAACUAAUAAGAGUAAUGGAAUUAGCAUAAUAGCAUCUCCAAAUCUCAGCACAUAUUCACAUAUUCACAAUAAACAAAACAUCAAAAUCACAAAUUUAUAUUAAAAAAAAAAUAGCACAACACAGGGUAGGGCAAGCAGAGAGCACGGCAAAGAAAGGGGAAAAAAAAAGGCACAGCAGCAGGCCUUGGAUUAAACACAACUAGAGAGAGAGAGCAUGACAGCCCAGGAAAAAAAAAAAAGAAGAAGCUGCAGUGCCAUGGAUGACACAGAGAAAGAAAGCAGAGAAGAGAGAGAGAGAGAUAGAAGAAGAAAAAGAAGAAAGAGAGGAAGAAAGCAGCAAAUGAAAGAAGAAGAAGAAGAAAGAGAAGAAGAAAGCAACAAAUAAAACGUA
rnacentral:misc_RNA from 1 species